AUUUGGAGCUGUAUACUUGUGGUAGUUAGUGUCAUUGCAAGAUUGUCUUCAAAAGACCAUAGGAGUUUGCAACUGCAGUCACAGUGCUAACCUCCCCAAGGCUGAGAGAGGCCAGGUCGAGAGUAGCUUAUACUCCGGCGGUCAGUUACAGAUCAGUUACGAAGAUCACAUACUUCUUUAUCUAAAAUUAUAUAUCCACUCAAUAAACUUGUAACGGUCAGUGCCUUUGUGGGGAUUUUGCCCCAAAUUUUUGGAGCGGCCAGUGUUACACGAAAAAAG